rnacentral:rRNA from 1 species
UACAGAGGGUGCGAGCGUUGUCCGGAAUCACUGGGCGUAAAGGGCGCGUAGGUGGGCUCGUUAAGCGUGUGGUGAAAAGCCUGGGGCUCAACCCCAGGUCUGCCGUGCGAACUGGCGAGCUUGAGCAGAGUAGAGGCGGGUGGAAUUUCGGGUGUAGCGGUGGAAUGCGUAGAUAUCCGAAAGAACACCGGUGGGCGAAGGCG